GCCUCUUUAGCUCAGUUGGUUAGAGCACUGCACUGGAAUCGCAGGACCGCAGGUUCGAUUCCUGCCAGGGACC
rnacentral:tRNA from 1 species